rnacentral:lncRNA from 1 species
UUGAAAUCAUGAGUAAAAGUGCCUCAAUACAUAGGGAUUGGCGAAAACCAUUCUUAUGGCACCACUCUUACCCAGUUCAAGUGAAAACCCGCAAGGGCACUUGGAGUAAAUAAAGAGGUUGAUACAGUUUUUGACCAAAAAAGAUGACCUCAGUCAGUUACAACAAGAAAAUCGUAUGGUGCUAAAGUAAAAUCCAAACUAGCCCUUCACCACCAACUAGAAUGCGGCCAAACGCCCACCAAGGGCACCCACUAGUAGGCCCGAGAGUCAAAGAACACCGCCAACUAGAUUGGGACAAAAUACCUACCAAGAGCAACCACUAAUAGGCACUAGAGCCGAAGAAAACCACAAACUAGAUUGGGACCAAAUGCCCACCAAGGGCACCACUAGUCAGUCCCAGAGCCGAAGAAUACCACCAACUAGAUUGGGACCAAACGCCCACCAAGGGCACCCACUAGACAGGCCCCAGAGCCAAAGAACACAAAAAACUAGAUUAGGGCCAAACUCCCACCAAGUGCACCCAUUAGUCAAGCCCCAGAGCCAAAGAACACCACCAACUAGAUUGGGACCAAACACCCACCAAGGACACCCACUAGUCACGUCCAGAGCCAAA